rnacentral:rRNA from 1 species
UGCCUACGGAGGCAGCAGUGGGGAAUAUUGCACAAUGGGGGAAACCCUGAUGCAGCGACGCCGCGUGAGUGAAGAAGUAUUCCGGUAUGUAAAGCUCUAUCAGCAGGGAAGAAAAUGACGGUACCUGACUAAGAAGCCCCGGCUAACUACGUGCCAGCAGCCGCGGUAAUACGUAGGGGGCAAGCGUUAUCCGGAUUUACUGGGUGUAAAGGGAGCGUGGACGGCAGAGCAAGUCCGGAGUGAAAGCCCGGGGCCCAACCCCGGGACUGCUCUGGAAACUGUUAAGCUAGAGUGCGGGAGGGGCG